rnacentral:rRNA from 1 species
AUGUCGAGCUCCGAUUCAGCCUCCCGCCGCUCAUGGCCGCGCUAUGGCGCAGUGCCCAUGACAAGGUGCCCUGCAUGCCCACGUAUCGCACCCCUGAAGCGGCUAGUCACAACGACCGACAAGAAUGGCAACCUUGGGCGGGAAUUCAUGAAAUGCGAGAGCAAACCAGAGCAGGGAAAGAAAUUGAAGUAA